UCAUGCUGGAAUCAAGGCAGAGAUACAGAAGUAGAUGUGGGGCACAUUUUAGGUCAGCCUGCCCUACCUAGCUCUCCUUCCACAUUUCCACCAGGAGACUCACCCGCGGGCCUUAAACCAAGUCUGCAAAAGGACUCCAGUAAACCCUAAACAUGUAACUCAGGAGAGGCAAUUAGACCACUAGUCAUGGCUAAGAUUUCUCCAGUGGGGGCUUCAGGGGAGCAGGAGGGAAGGUGAGUGGAGCGUGCACAUUUAAUUCAGGAUAGCUGGGGAAAGCAGGAUUCAGGUGGAGAGGAGCAGGGCCCAGAGAGGAGCCUGGUGGAAGGCAGGGGGCUGCAGAGUGGAUGCUGGACUCUGCAGCAGGGUGAGGGUGCUCUGCAAGCAAUGGCAUCCAGCCCCAGCCAUGUCUUUUUGGGGUGUUAGCCAUCAGCAUCACCAUGAGCUGGAAGAGGCCCAGCAUUGUAUAGGUGGCAAAACCAAGGCCCAGACCUACUGAGGACCAGGCCAUCAUGGUCUCUUUUCUGGUUCACCAUGUGACCUCUGUCAGCCCUUGAACAAAGCCCUGGAUAUGUUCUUCCAGGAAGGCUCUCCCUGCCUGGGGCACACCCCAGAGCGUCACCCCCAGGGAUACACAGACAGAGACACAAGGGUCCCCCAGCCUGAGCUUCCUCAAGCCCCUCCACCUCCAUUGUUCUUGUUGGAUCAGAAGUUGUGCCUGUGGGGCAAGAACCUUCCUUCUCCCCAUCACUUUACAAGAGAGCUCCCAACCCUUCUGCCUGGCAGUCAAGGUCUCUCCCGCCCCUGUUCGUCAGCCUUCCUGUCCUUUCCUUGCCAAUAAUGGGCAACACCUCCCACCACCCUGGCACCGAGAGCUGCAUUCACGGUGGCUGAAGUUCCAUGUUUUAUAUCCUGUCUUCACAAUGAGUUCAUCAGCCUGAGGAUGGCUCCCAGGUUCUUCCGUCAGUGGGAAAGCAGAUGGAAUGCCUCGUGUAUGCAUCAGAGAUCCUACAUUUAAGAACAAUUUGCUGAGAAUCAGCCAUAAGAAGCCUCCGGCAAAGGAGACAUGCAUCUUGCCUCUUGGGAAAGGAAGUUUGCUCCUCUGGGGCAAGGCUUAAGGAGGUCCCCCAACAAGGAGGGGUCCCCAAGUGACCACCUGGGCUCAGGCCAUUUUGCUAGGACAAGUCUGGGGUGAGUGGGAAGGAGCAUGAGCUGAGGGGUGAGGAGGAUGCCUAAGAAUAUAGACGAAGCAGAGUCAACACUGCGAGUGGGAGGAGAGGGUUCUUGUUGUAAAUCAGCUCCCAUUUAUUGACCACUGGAUGCAGAAGGUGUUGAGAUUAGCGCAGGCUUCUGAGUGACACCCACUGGAGUUUGAUUUGUGGACAACUUGCUUUUUGCCUCUCAUGAUUCUUUGGAUCAUCAGCUCAGAACCCCUUGGUUUUUUAAAAAAUAAACAAACUAUUUGUAUUCAUCUGGCUGUGCCAGGUCUUAGUUGCGGCAUAUGCACUCUUCGUUUCGGCCAGUGAGAUCUAGUUCCCUGACCAGGGAUGGAACCCAGGCCCCCUGCAUUGGGAGCACAGAGUCUUAGCCUCCAGGCCACCAGGGAAGUCCCCCCUCCUUGCUCUCAUGUGUGUUAACUUCUGGGUAUUGGUUUAAGUUUUUGUUCCACCCUCAAUUAUCUGGGGCAGGUUUCUUACUCUUUCUGAGUUUGAGUGUCUUCAUCUGUAAAAUCUGAUUGUGGUAAAGACUAAAUUAGAUGAGUCCAUGAAAGUUCUUGGGUCUCAGCCCCAUUAAACUAUUUCCGCUCCA